AGUGAACGCUGGCGGUAGGCCUAACACAUGCAAGUCGAACGGCAGCACAGUAAGAGCUUGCUCUUACGGGUGGCGAGUGGCGGACGGGUGAGGAAUACAUCGGAAUCUACUUUUUCGUGGGGGAUAACGUAGCGAAACUUACGCUACUACCGCAUACGACCUACGGGUGAAAGCCGGGGAUCUUCGGACCUUGCGCGAUUGAAUGAGCCGAUGUCGGAUUAGCUAGUUGGCGGGGUAAAGGCCCACCAAGGCGACGAUCCGUAGCUGGUCUGAGAGGAUGAUCAGCCACACUGGAACUGAGACACGGUCCAGACUCCUACGGGAGGCAGCAGUGGGGAAUAUUGGACAAUGGGCGCAAGCCUGAUCCAGCCAUACCGCGUGGGUGAAGAAGGCCUUCGGGUUGUAAAGCCCUUUUGUUGGGAAAGAAAAGCAGCAGGUUAAUACCCCGCUGUUCUGACGGUACCCAAAGAAUAAGCACCGGCUAACUUCGUG
rnacentral:rRNA from 1 species